CCUGACCACCAAUUUAACCCAACAAUGUUCAUAACAAAACAUAAUUUGACCCCGAAAAUUAAACCAUUUUUUUACCUGAGUAUGGGAGACAGAAAAGGUUCAACCCAGAGCGAUAGAAAAAGUACCGCAGGGGAAAGCUGAAAGAGAAAUGAAAUAACCCAUAUCAGCACUAAAAAACAAAGACUAGACUU
rnacentral:rRNA from 1 species